AGCCGCCAAUAACGUAUCCUCUAA
rnacentral:siRNA from 1 species